rnacentral:rRNA from 1 species
UACGUAGGUGACAAGCGUUGUCCGGAUUUACUGGGCGUAAAGCGCACGUAGGCGGUUCGUUAUGUCAGAUGUGAAAGCCCUUGGCUCAACUGAGGAAGUGCAUCUGAAACUGGCGAGCUAGAGUAUGUAAGAGGGUCGCGGAAUUCCCGGUGUAGAGGUGAAAUUCGUAGAUAUCGGGAGGAACACCGGUGGCGAAGGCGGCGACCUGGGACAAUACUGACGCUGAGGUGCGAAAGCGUGGGGAGCAAACAGG